rnacentral:rRNA from 1 species
AUUAACGCUGGCGGUAUGUAUAAUACAUGCAAGUCGCGCGCUCCACACUUAGUCUACAAUUUGUUUUGCAGGUUAAGUGUGGAGAGCGGCGAACGGGUGAGUAACACGUUGGAAUCUGCCCCAAACUCAGGGAUAACUCCGCGAAAGCGGGGCUAAUACCGGAUAGUCUCGAGAGAGUAAAGCUACGGCGGUUUGGGAGGAGCCUGCGGCCUAUCAGCUAGUUGGUGAGGUAAUGGCUCACCAAGGCUAUGACGGGUAGCUGGUCUGAGAGGACGACCAGUCACAAUGGGACUGAGACACGGCCCAUACUCCUACGGGAGGCAGCAGUAAAGAAUCUUCCGCAAUGGACGAAAGUCUGACGGAGCAAUACCGCGUGGGUGAAGAAGGUCGAAAGGUUGUAAAGCCCUUUUCUGGGGGAAUAAUUCUGAAGGUACCCUAGGAAUAAGCACCGGCUAACUCCGU